AUGAAUAUUUGGGUGCUCUCAACGAGGCCCAACCUUCAUUCUUUCCACCCUGUGCACAUUAUAUUGUCAAUUUGUAGCUUUGCUACACUUUGGCUAUCAUUUUUAAAACUCUACAAGUCAAAGAAUGUUACAAAUUUUAUAAUCCAAUA
rnacentral:misc_RNA from 1 species